AUACGGAGGAUGCGAGCGUUAUCCGGAUUUAUUGGGUUUAAAGGGUGCGUAGGCGGGAGAUUAAGUCAGCGGUGAAAGUUUGUAGCUUAACUGUAAAAUUGCCGUUGAAACUGAUUUUCUUGAGUGUAAAUAAGGUAGGCGGAAUGUGUUGUGUAGCGGUGAAAUGCAUAGAUAUAACACAGAACCCCGAUUGCGAAGGCAGCUUACCGGGCUACAACUGACGCUGAGGCACGAAAGCGUGGGGAUC
rnacentral:rRNA from 1 species